rnacentral:rRNA from 1 species
UACGGAGGGUGCAAGCGUUGUCCGGAAUCACUGGGCGUAAAGGGCGCGUAGGCGGCCUGGUAAGUAGGGGGUGAAAUCCUGCGGCUUAACCGCAGGGCUGCCUUCUAAACUGUCAGGCUUGAGCACGGUAGAGGCAGAUGGAAUUCCCGGUGUAGCGGUGGAAUGCGUAGAGAUCGGGAAGAACAUCAGUGGCGAAGGCGGUCUGCUGGGCCGCAACUGACGCUGAGGAGCGAAAGCAUGGGGAGCGAACAGG